rnacentral:misc_RNA from 1 species
GUAGGUGAACCUGCGGAAGGAUCAUUAACACGUAUCCACGUAAAAACAAUCUGUGAACUUAUAAAAUUUCUCCCUUUUUUCAGAAGUGCUGUGAGUGAAAUUAGUGAUGGGUAUAUAGUCGUUAAAAAACUAUAUGCAAUUUUACUGAACUAGGGCUUCAUAGCCCAAAGCGCACUGAAAAAAGGCCUUUACUUUCUAUCACUACCAAACAAACAAUUUUCAACUUUAAAACAUUUUGACUGAUGUACGUAAUGUAAGAGAAAUCUGGCAUUCGUCUUUUAUCUAAACUAAGCACAACUCUUAGCAAUGGAUAUCUUGGUUCUC